rnacentral:rRNA from 1 species
AUUGAACGCUGGCGGCAUGCUUUACACAUGCAAGUCGAACGGCAGCGCGGGCUUCGGCCUGGCGGCGAGUGGCGAACGGGUGAGUAAUGCAUCGGAACGUGCCCAGUAGUGGGGGAUAGCCCGGCGAAAGCCGGAUUAAUACCGCAUACGACCUGAGGGUGAAAGCGGGGGAGCGAAAGGCCGCGCGCUAUGGGAGCGGCCGAUGGCGGAGUAGCUAGUUGGUGGGGUAAAGGCUUACCAAGGCGAAGAUCCGUAGCUGGUCUGAGAGGACGACCAGCCACACUGGGACUUAGACACGGCCCAGACUCCUACGGGAGGCAGCAGUGGGGAAUUUUGGACAAUGGGGGCAACCCUGAUCCAGCCAUGCCGCGUGCGGGAAGAAGGCCUUCGGGUUGUAAACCGCUUUUGUUCGGGAAGAAAUCCUCUGGGCUAAUACCCCGGGGGAAUGACGGUACCGGAAGAAUAAGCACCGGCUAACUACGUG